GCACCCGUAGCUCAAUGGAUAGAGUACAAGAUUCCGGAUCUUGCGGUUGGUGGUUCGACCCCACUCGGGUGCG
rnacentral:tRNA from 1 species